rnacentral:rRNA from 1 species
AUGGAUGAUCGCCAACUUUCUGAGCCCGAGCUGCGGCUACGUAAGUGCCUGAAAAGGAAGCUGCUGGGCUUGUGCUCUCUUGAGCGCUCUAUUGCUCGGCAGAGGUCGAGGUUGCUGCAGCUGCGGGAGGGGGAUGGCAAUACCAGGUUGUUCCACCAACAAGCAAGUCAUCGCCAGAGAAAGAACACCAUCAGGUUGAUCCGGCACAAUGGGAACAUCUUCUCAGGCCAGGACAGUGUGGCG